rnacentral:miRNA from 3 species
CGACGAGCAGGCACGAUAGCGU